CUAAGCCACGCGAGUCGAGAGGGUUCGGCCCUCGGCGGACUGCUCAGUAACACGUGGAUAAUUUGCCCUUAGGUGGAGGAUAAUCUCGGGAAACUGAGAAUAAUACUCCAUAGAUCUAGGAUGCUGGAAUGCACUUAGAUUGAAAGUUCCGGCGCCUAAGGAUAAGUCUGCGGACUAUCAGGUUGUAGUCAGGGUAAAGACCUGACUAGCCUACAACGGAUACGGGUUGUGAGAGCAAUAACCCGGAGACGAUAUCUGAGACACGAUAUCGGGCCCUACGGGGCGCAGCAGGCGCGAAACCUUCACACUGCGCGAAAGCGCGAUAAGGGGAUCCCAAGUGCCAGCUCGUAAGAGUUGGCUGUUUCUCUGUCUAAAAAGCAGAGAGAGUAAGGGCUGGGUAAGGCGGGUGCCAGCCGCCGCGGUAA
rnacentral:rRNA from 1 species